AGGUCGUGGUGUGGGUAGUUUCUUAUUAAGCUCUUUUACCUCUCCCAAGCUUCAUAUAGCAACUCUCCAGCUUGUUGUUAAAAGUUAGAAAUGGCCUUCUUCAACUU